AGGAAGCUGGUGGCCUUUAUUCAUCCUGGACCCCAUCCUCGAGAGAGUAGGACUCUCGGCAUCGUCAUCCCAGACGCAUAAUCCUACAUUGGUGACCCCGACUUCAAGAAGACGAGCGAGUGGACUCUCGCCCCGCCGUCUCCAGGAGCACCGCUUUUUCCGGAAUUGCAUCAUCCACGCCGGCGGCUUUCUUGCCGCGGUCAGCCUGGCUAGGCGAUCGCCGUGCACCGCUGCCGUGUUCAUCAUUUUCUUCAGCGGCCUUGUUGCCGCGGUCAGCCUCUCAGGCGACCGCCUUAUCCAGUCUUCGAGCUCUUCCUCGUCAACGGCGUUCACGCCGCGGUCAGCCUUUCAAGGCGACCGCCCCUGCAGCAACGUAGUGCAGCGUCUCGUCGGCGUCCUUGCCGCGGUCAGCCUAGAGGCGACCGCCUGUGCAGCAUCAUCGUCCAGCUCUUCAGCGGCAUCAUAAGCCGCGGUCAGCCUCUCCUGGCGACCGCAUUCUCCGGCUUCGCCGAUCAUCGUUAGCGGCUUUUUAGCCGCGGUCAGCCUCUCAAGGCGACUGCCUCGCAGCCAUCUCCUGCAGCAUCACUACCAGCUACUUCUCGUCGGUCGGCGGCGCACAUCUCGCAGCAGUUCGACCUGGACAUCAUCCACGAGUCUUCAAGCAUCGUUAGCGGCUUUCAGCGCAUUCUCGCAAGAGGAAGCUGGUGGCCUUUAUUCAUCCUGGACCCCAUCCUCGAGAGAGUAGGACUCUCGGCAUCGUCAUCCCAGACGCAUAAUCCUACAAUUUCGAGAAGAGAGGCGGCAUCUGGCGAGAGAGGAAGGUCCGAGAGCUUUUUCAUGCGCGCGAUGUCACGAUGUGUUUGCGACUUUUGUUUCGAUUGGUCGUUCGUUUGAAUUACCGGCUGCUGUACGUGGAUCGGCCAACCGAAUGUCUUCUCGGUGUCGACCAAGCUGAUUUUCAGACUUUUACAUCACUUUUGCCGAGUAUACAUGCGGUAAGGAAUGUAAACAGAUCGAAGAACCGAGUCAAGUCCGAAAGAUAAUGUUCCUCUUGGAUUGAUUUUAAAACGAAGGAAAAUUUGAGAAAAUGUAACCCCCAGCUUUCUUUACUAGAUCGAGAUUUUAUUUACAGCUAAUAGUUGAACAAUGCAUUUGUUAAAAGUAACUCAAGUAAGUCAAUGAGGUGUUUACCGAAUACGAGGUAGUACAAAAACCGAUUUGCUAUUCGACGAUUUAUCAUUACAAAUUACAUGUAAGAUGAUCGUGCAUCUUCUCAGUUGAGCAUCUUACAUAAACAUGCAGCAGUCUGCCUCUCUUAAUCGCAUUCUAAAUUAAUUUGAACUAUCCUUGUUAAAAAUCUCUAUCUAGCUUAAUAUAUCAUUCGCACAAUUCAUCCUACCGCAUACAUUCAUUUUUUUUUUUAAUUUUCUCGUAAAGUGCUACAUAUGAUUCUUCUUGAUGAGAACCCGUUUGUCCGUCAAUUUUUUGCUUCGUUUUCAAAGAAAUAUUGUCGACGCCCAAGAGUUCGUAAUAAAACGUUGUUUUUGCUUCCUUAAUAUUUCGUUUAUUCGGCAUAAAAAUUUGAAUAAUUAUUUCGACAUUUUCGUAUUGUUUCUUUUCUUAAGUGAUGUAAAAUUUUUAUUUACUUUGUGAAACGACCAAAAUCUAACAAAUAACACUCUUUGAGCACUGUCGCAGCAGCGCGUGCAGGUAUAUUUGUUUCGGCGACAUAAAAAUCGUACGAUCUCGUGUCUAUUUCACAGGAAUGAUUAGAAAAUGUAUUUAUAGCACAGUGUGGCUAAAAUCCGCUGUUAAGUCACGCCUAUCUGUGACUAAAGUAGUCCUUUUUUGCACCGUGAGGUUAGCGCACGAGACUAACGACUACUUUAGUCACGAAUAGGCGAGACUUGCGGAUGUUAGCAGUCUGUGCUAUAAAAUUUCAUAGGAUACGUGCGACUUAAAUGGUUCAGUUUUACACGGCGAUUAGCGCCGUGUAAAAAUCAACCAUUUAAGUCACACGUAUCAUAAUGUACUAUUUGCAAACAAAAAAAAAAUUAGAUCUCAAUGUUAUAUAAAAUGAUGCAUUUCUUUCAUUUACCUCCUUUUACACAACAUACCAAAUUUCGAUCAAAGCCUGAUAUAACUAUGAUCGGGAAACGACCUUUAUCCACAAACUGUUAAUUUUUUAAAUGAAAUAAUCAUCAUUUUAUGUUACAGGCCUGUAUAUAGUUACCCCAACGGAGUUUUCGGUCUCUGAUAUUAGAUACUAUCAUGUCAUGCUCAAGACGUCCUCAGCUGUCCACUGAUCCUUAUUGCUACUUCGGCAAAUCGAUGAAAAUUUCGCGAGAAUGCAGAAAUGAGUUAAAAUAGUCUACCAAGAAGUAGUAGAUAAUUUUUAAUUUCACUUCUCAGAGUUUUCUGACACUGCAAAAGAUUAUAAUUAAAUACGAUUCUUAGCACCGUAGAUUCAAGUUAU